UACGUAGGUGGCAAGCGUUGUCCGGAUUUAUUGGGUUUAAAGGGUGCGUAGGCGGUUCUAUAAGUCAGUGGUGAAAUCGCGACUCAACUGUCGAGUGCCAUUGAUACUGCAGAACUUGAGUACAGACGAGGUAGGCGGAAUUGACGGUGUAGCGGUGAAAUGCUUAGAUAUCGUCAAGAACACCGAUAGCGAAGGCAGCUUACUGGGCUGUAACUGACGCUGAGUGACGAAAGUGUGGGGAUCAAACAG
rnacentral:rRNA from 1 species